UACGUAGGGUGCAAGCGUUAAUCGGAAUUACUGGGCGUAAAGCGUGCGCAGGUGGCUUUGCAAGACAGAUGUGAAAUCCCCGGGCUUAACCUGGGAACUGCAUUUGUGACUGCAUGGCUAGAGUGUGGCAGAGGGGGAUGGAAUUCCGCGUGUAGCAGUGAAAUGCGUAGAUAUGCGGAGGAACACCGAUGGCGAAGGCAGUCCCCUGGGCCUGCACUGACACUCAUGCACGAAAGCGUGGGGAGCAAACAGG
rnacentral:rRNA from 1 species